rnacentral:rRNA from 1 species
GACGAACGCUGGCGGCGUGCUUAACACAUGCAAGUCGAACGAAGUGGCGAACGGGUGAGUAACGCGUAAUCAACCUGCCCUUCAGAGGGGGACAACAGUUGGAAACGACUGCUAAUAUCGCAUACUGAUGGCGGGGAUUGCGUUUGAUUAGCUAGUUGGGGGGGUAACGGCCCACCAAGGCGAUGAUCAGUAAGCGGUCUGGUAGGACGAACGGGCACAAUGGGACUGAGACAAGGCCCAUGCUCCUCAGGGAAGCAGCAGUUGGGGAUCUUCCGCAAUGGACGAAAGUCUGACGGAGCAACGCCGCGUUGGGGAUGACGGCCUUCGGGUUUUAAAGCUCUGUUAAUCGGGACGCGGUACCGGAAUAGAAAGCAACGGCUAACUACGUGCCAGCAGCCGCGGUAAUUC